CCUACGGGAGGCAGCAGUCGGGAAUUUUGGGCAAUGGGCGAAAGCCUGACCCAGCAACGCCGCGUGAAGGAUGAAAUCCCUCGGGAUGUAAACCUCGCAAGAGCGGGAAGAAUAAGUAGGGGACAAUACCCCCUAUGAUGACGGUACCGUUUGUAAGCUCCGGCUAACUCCGUGCCAGCAGCCGCGGUAAUACGGGGGGAGCAAGCGUUGUUCGGAUUUACUGGGCGUAAAGGGCGCGUAGGCGGCCACCGCAAGUCAGUUGUGAAAUCUCCGGGCUUAACUCGGAAGGGUCAACUGAUACUGCGGGGCUAGAGUGCGGAAGGGGCAACUGGAAUUCUCGGUGUAGCGGUGAAAUGCGUAGAUAUCGAGAGGAGCACCUGCGGCGAAGGCGGGUUGCUGGGCCGACACUGACGCUGAGGCGCGAAAGCUAGGGGAGCGAACGGGAUUAGAUACCCCGGUAGUCCUAGCCUUAAACGAUGAAUGCUUGGUGUCUGGGGUUUUAUAGUCCCUGGGUGCCGUCGCUAACGCUUUAAGCAUUCCGCCUGGGGAGUACGGUCGCAAGACUGAAACUCAAAGGAAUUGACGGA
rnacentral:rRNA from 1 species